GAUUGAACGCUGGCGGCAGGCCUAACACAUGCAAGUCGAGCGGAUGAAGGGAGCUUGCUCCUGGAUUCAGCGGCGAACGGGUGAGUAAUGCCUAGGAAUCUGCCUGGUAGUGGGGGAUAACGUCCGGAAACGGGCGCUAAUACCGCAUACGUCCUGAGGGAGAAAGUGGGGGAUCUUCGGACCUCACGCUAUCAGAUGAGCCUAGGUCGGAUUAGCUAGUUGGUGGGGUAAAGGCCUACCAAGGCGACGAUCCGUAACUGGUCUGAGAGGAUGAUCAGUCACACUGGAACUGAGACACGGUCCAGACUCCUACGGGAGGCAGCAGUGGGGAAUAUUGGACAAUGGGCGAAAGCCUGAUCCAGCCAUGCCGCGUGUGUGAAGAAGGUCUUCGGAUUGUAAAGCACUUUAAGUUGGGAGGAAGGGCAGUAAGUUAAUACCUUGCUGUUUUGACGUUACCAACAGAAUAAGCACCGGCUAACUUCGUG
rnacentral:rRNA from 1 species